CAAAUUCAUUUCUCAGGAAACAAAAACGAGCCAUGAAAUAUUUCUCUAAAUGUCCCAGACGUCCCUGAAAUGUGCAGCGUGCGCCCGCUUUAAUCAACCGACCGACGGUCAACACGAGCUGAACCCCACCACCAUCCAGCACGACGCUCGCUUCUCCUCUGGCUUCCUUCUCUUUGUGUACUGCGAGGUCACUGACACCGUACCAGCUGCAGAGACGCAGGACAACAGCAAGGACAGGUGGACGCUUUAAGAUGCAAGCAUGAAUGAUGCAUGGAAGGAUGCAGCCGUCGCGCCCUCUGCUGCUGCAGCUUUCAGAAAGGUCAGUCACCUCCUCCUCCCCCGAGAUGUGAAGUCGUUUCUGCACGGACCUGGAUGUGUUCACAGCAGCAGAGACACGUUGAAACAGGAAAGGGCCUUCAGCAAACCGCCGACACGGGAGCUGGAAGCAUGCAGUUGGACGGAGCGCUCAUCGCCGCCGCGGCUGCG
ensembl:lncRNA